UGGGGAAUAUUGCACAAUGGGCGCAAGCCUGAUGCAGCAACGCCGCGUGAGGGAAGACGGUUUUCGGAUUGUAAACCUUUGUCUUUGGUGAAGAAGAAAGUGACGGUAACCAAGGAGGAAGCCACGGCUAACUACGUGCCAGCAGCCGCGGUAAUACGUAGGUGGCAAGCGUUGUCCGGAAUUACUGGGUGUAAAGGGAGCGCAGGCGGGACUGCAAGUUGGAUGUGAAAUACCGAGGCUCAACCUCGGGGCUGCAUCCAAAACUGUAGUUCUUGAGUGAAGUAGAGGUAGGCGGAAUUCCGAGUGUAGCGGUGAAAUGCGUAGAUAUUCGGAGGAACACCAGUGGCGAAGGCGGCCUACUGGGCUUUAACUGACGCUGAGGCUCGAAAGUGUGGGGAGCAAACAGG
rnacentral:rRNA from 2 species